rnacentral:piRNA from 1 species
UCCAAUCUCUACACAGCAUCAUGUGCAGCCU